rnacentral:rRNA from 2 species
UACGGAGGGAGCUAGCGUUGUUCGGAAUUACUGGGCGUAAAGCGCGCGUAGGCGGCUUUGUAAGUUAGAGGUGAAAGCCCGGGGCUCAACCCCGGAACUGCCUUUAAGACUGCAUCGCUUGAAUCCGGGAGAGGUGAGUGGAAUUCCGAGUGUAGAGGUGAAAUUCGUAGAUAUUCGGAAGAACACCAGUGGCGAAGGCGGCUCACUGGACCGGCAUUGACGCUGAUGUGCGAAAGCGUGGGGAGCAAACAGG